AGAAGUAUCAAGUCCGUCCAGGCGCGGUGGCUUACACCUGUAAUCCCAGACUUUGGGAGGCCGAGGCAGCCGGAUCAUGAGGUCAGGAGAUCGAGACCAUCCUGGCUAACACGGUGUAACCCCAUCUCUGUAUUUUGUAUUUGUAAAAAUACAAAAAAUUACCUGAGCGUGGUGGCACGCACCUGUAGUCCCGGCUACUCAGGAGGCUGAGGCAGGAGAAUCACUUGAACCCGGGAGGCGGAGGUUGCAGUGAGCCAAGAUCAUGCCGCUGCACUCCAGCCUGGGCGACAGAACAAGACUCCAUCUCAAAAAAAAAAAAAAAAAAAGUAUCAAGUCCACUUCCUAUUUUCAAACUUACCCACUUCUCUCUCUCUUUGCUGAUGCUUCUCUAGUACGACAGUUUCUUUAUUGGUCUUCCUGCCCUAUGGCCUGGAUUCAUGCUAGAACAUGUAACUCUCUCUGCCUCACUCAUCUUUAAAUGGGGAUCAUUGCAGAACCUACCUCAUGAAGUUAUUGUGAAGGUUAAAUGAGCUAACGCAGGUAGAGUGUUCAGCAUAGAAUAUAAUAAACACUCAGCAAGGGUAACCUAUUAUUCUCCAUAAAGCUACCAGGUCAUUAUAUCAUGUCACAACCUGGCUUAAAGCAUUAGUUAGUUUCCCACUGCCCUCUGUGUUUGUACUUCUGCACAUACUGCACAAGGCUCUUGGUGAUAUGGCCCACUGCAGCCUUUAGACCUCCAGCCCCUUCUUUUCCCACUCUAUUCCUCUUGACUUCCAUGCUUCAGCCACACUGAGCUUCCAGUAGUUUCUAAAGGCACUGUAAUAUCCUUUUCCUGACCUUAGGAGCUUUCUCAGCCCUCUGUACAUCUUUUAUCACAAUACUUACUGUGCUGGAAUGGCCUAUUUACUUUUCUGAUUUCUCCUUUAGUCCGUAAGCCCAGGAUGGCCAGAAAAAGAUAUCAGUCUUAUUCAUCACUAAUUCCUCAGAAUUCAGCAUGGUUCCUGGCACGUUAUAGGCUCCCAAACAUUAUUUAUCAAAUAGGUGGAUGGGUAGGCACAUAGGAGGGAGGAAGAAAAUUUAACAGUUCUGUGGCCCCAAAGUCCAGUACCCUUUGGACUACUCCAGCCUUCUUGCAGCUCUCUAAAGCAAGUAGAAAGUAAGUGCCAUACUCAGAGGACUGGGGAGGGUGGGGCUAGAAGACACCUCCUUUCCUCCCUCUUCAGUCCUAUCUUCCACAUUCACUAGCAUUUUCUUUCUUACAAAUCUAAGAUUUGUAACUUCAGUGCUUAAAAUACACAAGUUCCCCACUGCUUACAGGAAAGGAGUGCACCCCUUAGAGUGGCACACCGGAACUGUCAGCAUCUUGCCCCUCCCUUCUCCCCUCUGCAGCUCACAACUCUUGGCCGUCUCCCAAGGACACGCUGCUGUUUCCUGCCUAUGUGACUUUUCCAGGUCCCUCUAUCUUGGAUGAAUCUUUCAAGACCUUGCUCAGUUAUCAUCACUUCCAUGGAGGUUUCCUAAUCUCUCAGGCAUCAUUAUAUACUCUUGGCUCCCAUAGUACUCUGUAGAGCCUUUGUUAUAGCCCACCUCAAUCUGUCCCAUAUUGCUCUGUGCACUGUCUGCCCUAUUAGAAUGUAAAGUGUUCAAAGAAACCAUAUAUUCACUUUGGAGAACCCAGCCUUACCACUUGUGAGCUGUGUAGAUUUAGGCAAGUUGCCUAUAUUCUCUAAGCCUCGAAUAUAAUAAUGCAUAAAAAUAUUUGUUAAGAUGAGAAGUGACCAUUUCUGCCUUACAGGUUUGGUGCCUGGAAUGCUGACCUAGAUCUGGAAACUAGCCCAGAUGAAAACAAGAAUGAUGAGGCCACAGUGUCCAUGAAAGUAGGGUGAGGCAGGGUGUCCAGUGGAGCCAGAGGGAGUGCCAAGAGGGAGGUCCUUGGAACACGGAGGAUCCAGAAGGCCCAGGAGUAGAAAGCAGUGUUGGCGUUUGUAAGAAAGUAGAAGAGGUGGUUGGCCAGAGGACAGGCCCUGUUCAAGAUCUGACCAGGACAUCAGAGCUGGCCUCUCCCUCCCUUCUUCCUUGCAGGCCACAGCUGAGCAGCCUUAACUGACACCUCCUUGGCACCAGCACACAAACAAUGGCACAUGGCCUGACGUCUUCCAGGAUGCCCUAGGCCCGUGCCCUUCACCUGUUCUGCAGCUGUAAGACUGUGGUGUUUGCCCUCCUUGAUUCUUCCAGGUACUGCCCCACCUUGUUCUUCUCCCCAUUCUUUGAGUGCUGAGAUUGGCCAGUCCCGUGCUGAGAUGAGGGAGCUGGAGGAGGGGAGACUGGCUCUCACUCCUCAUUGCUGCCCAUUGGGAUGGGAUGAACUUCACAGCUCUGGUUUCCUCUGUUCUUCUCUCAGCUGCAGGUGAUUUAAGCUUGUUGGAUUUAUAUAACAUUGGGAAAUGGUAAACUGUGUAAAUUUGCUAUGUUUUCCAGGGACAGUUAUUUAUGGAAGGGCAUUUUUAACUCGAGUGCUAGAAGUGUUAAAUCAUUAUAAUAAAUUCAUGCUAUUCAGACUUUCUUACAUUGUAAUAAAUUUUUUCUAAGCAUGAA
rnacentral:sRNA from 1 species